rnacentral:rRNA from 1 species
UACGUGGGGUGCAAGCGUUGUUCGGAAUUACUGGGCGUAAAGCGCGUGUAGGCGGCUCGCUAAGUCUGAUGUGAAAUCCCUGAGCUUAACUCAGGAACUGCAUCGGAAACUAGCGGGCUAGAGUUCGGGAGAGGGCGGUGGAAUUCCUGGUGUAGAGGUGAAAUUCGUAGAUAUCAGGAGGAACACCGGUGGCGAAGGCGGCCGCCUGGACCGAUACUGACGCUGAGACGCGAAAGCGUGGGGAGCAAACAGG